rnacentral:rRNA from 1 species
GACGAACGCUGGCGGCGUGCUUAACACAUGCAAGUCGAACGGAAAGGCCCUGCUUUUGUGGGGUGCUCGAGUGGCGAACGGGUGAGUAACACGUGAGUAACCUGCCCUUGACUUUGGGAUAACUUCAGGAAACUGGGGCUAAUACCGGAUAGGAGCUCCUGCUGCAUGGUGGGGGUUGGAAAGUUUCGGCGGUUGGGGAUGGACUCGCGGCUUAUCAGCUUGUUGGUGGGGUAGUGGCUUACCAAGGCUUUGACGGGUAGCCGGCCUGAGAGGGUGACCGGCCACAUUGGGACUGCGAUACGGCCCAGACUCCUACGGGAGGCAGCAGUGGGGAAUAUUGCACAAUGGGCGGAAGCCUGAUGCAGCAACGCCGCGUGCGGGAUGACGGCCUUCGGGUUGUAAACCGCUUUCGCCUGUGACGAAGCGUGAGUGACGGUAAUGUGUAAAGAAGCACCGGCUAACUACGUG